rnacentral:rRNA from 1 species
GAUGAACGCUGGCGGCGUGCCUAAUACAUGCAAGUCGAGCGAACAGACGAGGAGCUUGCCCCUCUGAUGUUAGCGGCGGACGGGUGAGUAACACGUGGAUAACCUACCUAUAAGACUGGGAUAACUUCGGGAAACCGGAGCUAAUACCGGAUAACAUGUUGAACCGCAUGGUUCAACAGUGAAAGACGGUUUUGCUGUCACUUAUAGAUGGAUCCGCGCCGCAUUAGCUAGUUGGUAAGGUAACGGCUUACCAAGGCAACGAUGCGUAGCCGACCUGAGAGGGUGAUCGGCCACACUGGAACUGAGACACGGUCCAGACUCCUACGGGAGGCAGCAGUAGGGAAUCUUCCGCAAUGGGCGAAAGCCUGACGGAGCAACGCCGCGUGAGUGAAGAAGGUCUUCGGAUCGUAAAACUCUGUUAUUAGGGAAGAACAAAUGUGUAAGUAACUAUGCACGUCUUGACGGUACCUAAUCAGAAAGCCACGGCUAACUACGUG